rnacentral:lncRNA from 1 species
UUUGGAAAUCUUUCUGUUUUCUCUUUGAGCUCAGGAAAGAACCAUGGAAGUAUGAAGAGUACGGUUCUGUGGGGCUGGGGAGAAGGCACAGUGGGUAAGAAUGCUUGCUGUGGAUGCAUGGAGACCUGAGUUCAAAUCCUAGCACCCACAUAUAAAGCUGGGUAUGCCCACAUGUGCCCGAAAACCCAACACUGGGAGGCUGAGACCAACGUCCCCGAAGCUUGCUGACCUGGUAGCCUAAACAAAGUGGCGAGUUUCAGGUUGGGUGAGAGAUCCUGUUUCAAGGGAAUAGGGGAGAAGGAGCAAUGGAAAGAGAUGAGAGUGGGGAGAGGGAGCAAGGGAAAGAGGGAGGAAGAGAGGGAGAGGGAAAGAAAGUAGAGAUAGAUACUGAGUGAGUGUGUAUGGGUACAUGCGCCCACAUUUACAAAAGCGUUCCACAUGAUAAGCAAUGUGAGUGCAAUGAGUAAUGACGAAUACAAGGCAGAGUAAGGUACUGUGCCCUUGAUGAACUUCCAGCUCAACUGGUAAUAUAGGAAGUGUCAGGGAGGAAGGCUGAAAGAGGAAGAUAUAGGAAGUGUCAGAGAGGAAGGCUGAAAGAGGAAGAUGGUCACCCCGCCACCUGCUGUUAAUGUUCAAGAUUCAUUCCUAUAUGAACUUGUGUUGGAGACUGGUUCUAAUGUUUUGAUUCAAUCGGAGAUCUGUGUGUCGAGACACUGAAGGUAUUUGUUCCCAAUUAGUUUUUGAUUGAUCAAUAAAGAUAUCAAUGGCCAAUGGCUGAGCACUUAGAAGAUGCAGAGGAACAAGACUUUCUCUGUGACUAGGGGAAGAAGGAUGUGAUGCAAUAGAGGCAGGAGCAAAAGCCAACCAGACAUGUGAGAUUUCAGGCAAAUCCACCUCUCACCCUGUGGUUC